GCCUCUAGCUCAAUUGAUAGAGCGAGAGAAUUUUAAUCUCUAGGUUCGGGGUUCAAGUCCCCGGAGGCGCACCA
rnacentral:tRNA from 1 species